AGGAAUGUAUAGCAAUAGCUAAUUGCACUAACAAACAGUUGGUGCAAUAUCGACUCUGUCGAAUAAAGUUCUAGGUAGAAUUAUGAUAAUGACAUUGUCUGCCUAUGUGUCUUGACCAAAUUACGUGCCAGCAGUCGCGGUAAUACGUAGAAGACUAGUGUUAUUCAUCUUUAAUAGGUUUAAAGGGUACCUAGACGGUAAAUAAAGCCCUUCAAAAGGGACUGAUUUACUAGAGUUACUUGUGAGGGGGUAUUAAAGUACUGCUGGUGUAGAGAUGAAAUUCUGUGAUACCUCUUUUCGUAAGAAAAAUAAUGGCACAGGUAUAGGCGAAAGCAUCCCCUUAUG
rnacentral:rRNA from 1 species